AGCUUUGCGCAGUGGCAGUAUCGUAGCCAAUGAAGUUUAUACGAGGCGCGAUUAUUGUUAAUUGAAAACUUUUCCCGUAUCUGAGUAAAAUUCACGUAUAUAUUCACAUAUAUAUAUAUAAUUCACAUAUAUAUUCAUAU